UACGUAGGGCGCAAGCGUUGUCCGGAAUUAUUGGGCGUAAAGAGCUCGUAGGCGGUCUGUCGCGUCGGUCGUGAAAACCUGCAGCUUAACUGUGGGCGUGCGGUCGAUACGGGCAUGACUGGAGUUCGGCAGGGGAGACUGGAAUUCCUGGUGUAGCGGUGAAAUGCGUAGAUAUCGUAAGGAAGACCAGUGGCGAAGGCGGGUCUCUGGACAGUUCCUGACGCUGAGGCACGAAGGUCAGGGGAGCAAACGGG
rnacentral:rRNA from 1 species